rnacentral:rRNA from 1 species
UACGUGGGGGGCAAGCGUUGUCCGGAAUUAUUGGGCGUAAAGAGCGCGUAGGCGGUCCGAUAAGUCGGCUGUGAAAGUCCAGGGCUCAACCCUGGAAAGCCGGCCGAUACUGUCGGACUAGAGUCCGGAAGAGGCAAGUGGAAUUCCCGGUGUAGCGGUGAAAUGCGCAGAUAUCGGGAGGAACACCAAUGGCGAAGGCAGCUUGCUGGGACGGUACUGACGCUGAGGCGCGAAAGCGUGGGGAGCAAACAGG